CCUACGGGUGGCAGCAGUAGGGAAUCUUCCGCAAUGGACGAAAGUCUGACGGAGCAACGCCGCGUGAGCGAAGAAGGUCUUCGGAUCGUAAAGCUCUGUUGUUAGGGAAGAACAAGUACGGGAGGAAAUGACCGUACCUUGACGGUACCUAACGAGGAAGCCACGGCUAACUACGUGCCAGCAGCCGCGGUAAUACGUAGGUGGCAAGCGUUGUCCGGAAUUAUUGGGCGUAAAGCGCGCGCAGGCGGUCUUUUAAGUCUGAUGUGAAAGCCCGGGGCUCAACCCCGGGAUUGCAUUUGAAACUGUCUUACUAGAGUGCAGGAGAGGAAAGCGGAAUUCCUAGUGUAGCGGUGAAAUGCGUAGAUAUUAGGAAGAACACCAGUGGCGAAGGCGGCUUUCUGGACUGUAACUGACGCUGAGGCACGAAAGCGUGGGGAGCGAACAGGAUUAGAUACCCGAGUAGUC
rnacentral:rRNA from 1 species